CAAGAUCACCAACUUUCCACUGACGGCAAGCGGCAGCGUACCUUUUCUUUGACUGGGCGCCAUAGAAAUCUACCCAAUCAAAGCAGCGAAGGAGCAAAUUUUCAAGGGAUUCCUGAAUGUAAAGGAACCAAAACCACCCACUUGUCCACACAGUUUGAUAUGUAGAUUCCGAGGCAUUGAUUGAUAGGUCAUACACAAUUUGAUAACAGAAAAUUC
rnacentral:lncRNA from 1 species